AAUCAUGGCCUUUCAAGUAACAGUCUCUGGAAGAAAAGGGGCCUUCAAAAUGACUACAGUUGCUGGCACCAACUUUAUGUGGUCUAUCCCAAAGUAGUUUUUAAGAUUAAUGGCCACUAUGAGGGAAGACAUUCAUCCUUGUAUACAUCUGCUGGCAUGCAUGGCCUUUAGAUUUUGACAUGAGUGGUCACACGGCAUAUUUGAAGAAGACUUGUUCUCUAAUAUUCUUAACUAAAGAUGGCCUCUUUUGCAAGUUAGAGAGCUUCGUUGAAUUUUUUUUGAGAGCUCUUAAUUGUGGAAAAUAUACUAAGAAAACUUGGGACGCAGAUAUGCAUAUAAUUGCAUGUCGGGUAUAAGUCAUGCAGUGCCAAAGGAAGAGAGAAUUUGGUCACUGAAUUUUCUGAAAUGUCAUUGUGGAUACUACCCAGUAGUGUUGCAACGAGGCUAAAAGUCGUAUUAGCUGCCUUUAGGACAGAAACAAACCACUCCUUUUGUGGACCAAACCACAAGGUAAAAUAACCUUGUUUAAAGAAAAAAGUAAAAGUGUAUUGCAGAGGCCUUGGCUAGGUUUAUGAUGACACAGGACCUUGUCUGAACAUGAUGAUUUCAAAAUUUGAGCUUAAAAGGACACUCUGAAAUCCAGUCAAUGUGCCUCAAUAGACUUUUCAGAGGACGUUAUUCUUGGCAGAAAAUGUUGGCUUGACAUGUGAAAACUGAAUAACUAGAAAUGGCAGGUGUAGUCGUACACUUUGCCAGUUCUUCAAAUAUCCCUUUUUUUCUUUUCAUAGAUUUUUCUGAGCUAAUUAUUUUCUCUUUUUUUUUAUAUAUACAUAUAUAUACAUAUAUGUGUGUGUAUAUAUGUGUGUGUGUGUGUGUGUGCCCACACACACUGUUCAAAGCAAAAAUGGGAGCUCACCCUUGGAUCUCAGAAGGCACACAGGUGGUGAGAUGGAAACAGAGACAUAUAAAAAGGAAGCUGCCACCUCUUGGAUCAAACAUUGAAUGACAGAGUUCUAGGUGUCUAAGUGAUGUCCAGAGAGAAUAUUUAUGGAACACAUACGAAACGCAAUGAGUGUGCAACUGAAGAAUGAACCCAGACUUGAAACAAGGAGACUUCAUUUCCAUGGCUUGGACUGAAUAAAAUAAGAAAUCACAGAGGAUUUUUAAAAAUUGCGAGAUUUGAAACAUGAUGUCAACUAGAAGGUGAUUGGCUAUCAUUCAUGGACAUGAAUGGAGCCUAAGAAAGAUGGACAAAGGAUUUCAUCCAGGAACUUAGAAUCUUUUUUGCACAAUAGAUACUCCAAUAUAGAUGGCUGUUUUGGAGCUACCUUUCAUAUUGAAACUUCUAACUGGUCCCCUUACUUCUAGCUUCAGAUUCUCUAAUUGAUCUGUCUGCCAUAGCAGUCUUUGGGAAAGAUGACGAAACUACAUCAUGUCCUUGAUAAAUCUACAGUUGACAUGUUUUAAAAGUGUUAGAAAUAAGCAAUAAUCAGAGAAGAGGACAAAGAUUAUAUAAACUGGUAAUAUUUAGAGCAUCUUUUGCCACUGUCAAAACUGGAAAUUUUCCAGUUCUAGUGGCUGAACAUUUGGAUUCAUAAAAUUCAGACACUCCUUUCCUCUUACCCUUUGGUCCAUAAGAAUCUCAAGAAAUUUGCACAGCAAGAUACAAUGUGAUUGCAACCCAGGAUGAUUUUAGGGUAGUUUCGCAAACUGUUUUUCUGUUAACAUAGAUGAGCAGAUUUUUCUGGAGUAUCCUGAGCAAUUUUACUUAUGGACUGCUACAGAAGUCUACACCUCAUACCAAUUUAAGGGUUUUUUGGCCAGGGCCCUCCUGUAGAGACAUUUUCUAGAUCUUUUAAUCUGUAUUGAUUUGCCUGAUCCAACAGCAUCAGGACAGCAUCUGUCAUUCCAGGUUUCUCCCCAAGAUUCAAGUGUGUGAAGGGUACCUACUGAAUUGAAAAUUAUUUCAGCUGGGUAAAACUUAAAGUAUUGGCUAGUCUGUACAAACUCAAGUAAACAUAAACUAACCCUGUAGGAAUAUGUGGAUAGGAAGGGAAGGACAACAGAUCUUGAGUUUACCUGGAAGCUUCACCAGCUCUAAAAUUAUAGACAAAAUAGAGAUUUAUACUAGCCUGUACUUCAUCUUGGCUCUUGUAUAUUUGCAUUUCAUUGGCAAUCUUUGGAUUGGUGGGGUGGAAUAUUUUCCUUGCCAUGGAAUAUCAACUUGCCUUUGAAAGUUACCAGUAAAAAACCCUAUAUAUGUGGCGUUUGUAUGCAUAUGUGAUAAACCUUAUUUUCCCCUACGGCAUUUUAAAACAACUUGAAAUCUAAUCCCAUUAACUAAUUAACUGGAUAUAUGUACCUUAUGAAUUUAUUUAAAUACUUAGAAAAAUUGUGUUUGGGUAAUGGUAUUGAAAUUAAAAUUUAAAAUACUCAGUGAAUGAUGAAUAUGUGUGAACUGUUCAUUGAAUGUUAGGAGAUGAAGAGAAUGAAAUUCAACAUGUAAUAGUUUAUUGUAUUUUAUUCUUUCUUUGCUUAAUCUUUUGGAAUCUAAUACUCAAGUACAGAGGCCUACAUUUAUAAACAUAAAUCUAUUAUUUUUAGAUACUUUUUAAGAUGAAUGUUGUAAUAAUACAGCUUGUUUCCUAAGGAAGUUUCUAAAAACAUGUUUGGUAAAAUUGUCUUCUGGAAAAAACUUAAGAAAGGGAUUGUGAGGAUCCCUUUUUGUAAGCUAUACACGAUUCUGUAUUGUUUAUGGAUAGCAGAAAAGAGAAGGACAUGGGAAUGUUUAAUACAUCAAUCAGAAAAGCAAAGGAAAGCAGUAAUUAGUGUUUAUAUGCAUUUUGAGAGUACUGUGUAUGAAAUAACCAAAUAUAAUUGCUUUGUGAUAUUUCUUAAUGUAUUGCAAAUGCUAACAAAGAGUUUGCUAAUAUAUGUAGAAGAAUUAUUUUUAAUACAUGAUUAUAGAAAUAAGGAUUGUUAGAAUAUCUCUGAAUGAUAAUACAUUUCAAAUAAUUUGAUUGGAUUAUUGUGGUGGGUUUUUGGGGGGAGGGGAUUGUUCUGUAUACAAUUGUUACCUAAGAAAUUUUAUUAAGGGUGCUCUAUCUGGUUGUAGAUGUUAUCCUGUAAAUGAUUUUUAUGUUAAAAUUUGUAUGGUAUGAGAUUGCAUUAUCAUGAUGGAAUUUUUGCACAGGAGAAGAGCCUCUAUGAACAGUUGUAUGAUCAGGGUUGAGUGGGUGUUUUUUAUUGCUUUGUAUAUAAUAGAAAGACUGCUGUACCAUCCUGUCAGGCAUAGAGGUGGGUGACAUUUUGGGCACUUCAGUUACUAGAUUGUAAUGUUGGUUACUGAGAGGAAUUUCUAGACCGCUUUGUAUUAGGUAAAUAAAAGCUGAAUUUAGGAGAUAGAGAAUUAGGGGGUUUUGGAGGGUUGUGUGUUUAUAUGCAUAUGCACAGAGACAGUUCUUAAACAGCAUCUGGGCUUUACUCCAUGCUCAGAUAUGUUGGGCAUCUACAUAUAUUUUAUAAAUGUUCUAAUGUUAAACACAGGUAGAAUUUUUUUCGUUUUGCCAGUGGACUUGCCUAUCAAUAUUAAUUCAUUUCUGGUAGAAGUUGUUAAACAGUUUGUUAUAAACAAUGUUAUAAUGUUUUCUUGUUUAACCUCUAAUUUUCUUUUUCUUUUUUUUUAACCUCUAAUUUUCUACAUGUAUAAACAUUGUAAAUACAUACCAACCUAAUAGUAUAGAAAUAUUUUUGUUUGCCAAAAAAAAUGUUCCAUUUAGCCUCUCAUUGUGUUCAUUGGAUCACUAGACUCAAUUUUUAGGUUGUGGUGAGAAAUACAUUGUGUAGUAUUUAAUAUAAAUAUAUCAGUUUUAUGACAGGAUUCAUCAUGGUGAAAACAUCACUGGACUGCCUUUGUUUAUAGUUUGCAGAUAUAUUUGUGUACAAAUAGAACACAGCUCUUUGUAUAUCUUAGAGAAAGCUCCACAUGUGGUAAAAUAGCAUAGGUUAGAAAAAUUUUCGUUUGUGAGUGGAAUUUGACUUUUAAUGAAAAUUAUGAAUUGUUGUUUUAAAGUACUUAUUUCUAUUUGUAUAGGCAAUUUGUAAAUUUUUAUGGAUGAUGUUAGUGAUGGUAUGUCACACCUGAGUUCAUUAAAUAGUGGGCUGACCAAAGGAAUGUUUUUGUAUUAUGUGUAUAUAAUAGACACCAUUAUUAUAUGUUUUUUAGGCAUAUGAGCUAUAAUUUCUGCAUGUUUUGUAAAAUAUUAACUAUAUAGAGUGAAAAUUUUUGCUGAUUGUCAGAUUAUCUUAGCGAAUAAUUGGGCAGCUAAAGGGGUGUUUUUAUAGAUGGUUGUUAAUAAAAUAGUUAGAAUAUAUAAUAGUUUUGCUUUAAACUUUUAGUCCUUGAUUUAUAGGGAUUUCUUAACAUAUACAUAUGUAUACAUAUACACACAUGAAUACAUGCACGUAUGUGUUUUAUAAAACUAGUGAUAUUAAAAGUCAUAGAAUGGAAUUAUUUUUUGGCUUAAACAAUUACCAUUUGGCCUUGAGGGCAGAUGAUGUAGGAAGUUUUAGUUUAUGAACUUUAUUUAGUUGCCGGAGGAUAUUGUGAGGCUGCUAGAUAUGUGGUAAACAAAUGUUGGUCUUGUGUUUUUUAAAAUAACAUCUGCCUAGUAUUUGCUGAGUAGGCAUAUAUUUUGUGAGCACCAAACUGAUAGACAAAGGUGAAAACACUAUUUUGGGAAAUUGAAUUGCUAAACCACAUCCAUUUGGGAUAUAUUUGGUUGCUCAGGAUUGUGUUAUUACUUUGUUUUCUGUAUUGAAGAUACAUGUUAUUUCAUGAAAUAAUUUUGGAUAUAUAAUUUCUGUCAAUUUUGGAAAUACCUUUUCACUUAAAUGUUAAAGUUGUAAUCAUUGAUCAUAGAUAUAGUAGAGUGAGCAUCUUCAUGAAUUACGCUUGAUUUUUGAGGGUUUUUUGUUUUUAUGUUAUUGAGGUUUUGUAAUUAGACAUUCUUUGUUUAAAGUGUAGAAAUCAUUGCCAUUCAUAUUUUUAAAUGCUUAAACUUGUACAGUUGUGCUUAUUCCAGUGAAAUUUUUGAGUUUUAAAUGUUGGGACAGAGCAGGGAAGCAUUUGACUGCUGUGUGUUGAACAGACAAGCUCUUCUAUAACAACUUCCUAGGUAUUUAGGAACUCCCUCUCCAUACACACACAUACACACAAUUAAUAUAUUAAUGUUGAACUAAUGGUGAAAAAUAUCUAUUACCAAUAGAAGUGUUACAUGACCCCUAUGUGUUUAUACUUGGUCUGUAUGGGGGGGGGGAAUUAUUAGGUAGUUGUGUGCAUGUGAUCAGAUGUUUGUUUUUUAUACCAUAUAAUUCAAUAGAUGUGCAGAAAUUUCUGUCAUAGUUUUGAACGUAUAUUUACCUAAAAUUAAUACAUAAGCUUUUUUAUUCUUGUAGAAAUGAAAUGGUACACUAAGUCUCACUUAGCUGAGUGACAUUUAGACUUCUGUAUAUGUAAUUACAUUACAAACACAUGUUCUUUCUAGAUAUAGACAUUUCUGAUAUACAUAUAGUUUUACCUCUAUUUGUAGGACAUGUAGAUAUAACUUAUUUUCCCACAUGUGCUGAGGUUCAUGAUGAAAUUCAUUUUUCUAAAGAACAUUUUAUAGAAAUGUUUCUGUGUUCGUUACAUGGCAAUAACCAAGACAAUUUUGUAAAUAAGGGACAAGAGAAAUAAUUUAGUUUUAAACAUCUGGUAUUUCUAGAUGUACUGAGAGUCUCAAAAAGUAUAAUUUUGUAAAAACUUUCAUUGUAAAUGUGUUAGUAUUGAUACUGUUGUCUUUUAAAAUCAACAUGGCAAUGAAGUUGACAAACAGGCUCUUGGAGCUAUGCAGAAUUUAUCAUAUAUUAGUUUGGUUGUUAAGAGGAAAUGUUGACAAGAUUAUGCAUUUACCCUGUUCUCAUAUAGAAGAAGAAUUUGCCAUUGUAUCAAGUAUGUAUAUUUAAAACUUACACCAUGUAAAUUCAUUUGGUGUUUCUGGAUGUACCGAGAUUCCUGAUAUAGUUCAUUUAUAUUAUUUUUUAUUAAGACUUUUUAUUAAGGGCAGUUUUAAGUUCACAGAAAAAUUGAGGGGAAGGCACAGAGAUUUCCCAUAUGCCCCCUGCCCCAACACAUGCAUAAUCCCUCCCCCAUUAUCAACCCAGCACAUGUAUAGUCCACCCCUAUUAUCACAUUCCCCCAUCAGAGUGGUACAUUUGUUAUAAUUCAUGAGCCCAUAUUGACACAUCACAUCAUAAAUCACCCAAUGUCAGUAGUUUAUAUUAUGGUUAACUCUUGGUGUUCUACAUUCUGUGGGUUUAGGCAAACAUAUAAUGACAUGUAUUCAUUGUCAUCGUGUUUUAAUGGCCCUAGAAAUCCUCUUUGCUCCAACUACUCAUCCCUCCCCUUGUAUUUCUUUUUUUUACUUUGUUUUCUUUUUUUUCCCCUUAAUAUUCAAAUUAAUAAAUGACUUUGUCAGAGAGACUUUAUACUACCUCCUGGAACUAUACACAGUUCUGUAUGUGUUCCCUUGGUUGCAUGACAAUAUUCAAGACAACUUUGUAAAUAGGCAGAUACGAGUUUUUAAUUUUUAUCAUCUAGACUUUCUAGAUGUAUAGAGUCUCACAAAGUAUAAUUUUGUAAAUAAUUCACUGUAAAGUUUCAUUGUUUUCUUCUUAUGUCUCAGCAGUGAAAUUGAUGGAACUGUGGAUUUCUUGAGCUGUAUACAUAUUUCGGGAUCUGUUGAGUUAUGGGAAAGCAAAAGUUAAAAGGGUAUUUUUUCACUUUUGCAUUCUCAUCUAAAAGAAAAUUUUACAUUUUAAUCAUUGUUUAGUUGCUUGGAUUUUUAUAUAUUAAAAAAGCCAAGUCAUAAUUUGUAGUUGUGUUGCUAAUAGGGCAUUACAGAUUUUAAUCAGGAGAUUUUAUUCUCUUUGAAUUAUACAGUUUUGUGUUUAAUUGGACUGCAUGACAACAUUCAAGACAACCUUGUAAAUAACAGUAAAUUUAUCAUUUAAAAAUUAGUUUUUCUAGAUGGCAUGGAAUUUCACAAAGUACAAAUUUGUAAAUAUCUCAUUGUAAAGGAUCAUGAGGUGGUUUCUAUAAAUGUUUUAGCGGUGUAAUAGGUAACUAGGAGUUGACCUUUUAGGGCUUUGUAACAUUUUGGUGUUUAUGUAGUGGGUUUUUGGGGAUAGGGGUACACAGAUUGUCUCCAUAUCUUCAGAUUUUUAGGAUCUCAUGUUAUAAGAUUAGACUGUAUACUUUUAACAAACAAACAAAUGCCCAUGGGAUAUAUUUUCAUCUUUAGGAAGAAAAAGGAAGACAUGAGAAGGGAAUUGUCGUUUUAAACUGCAGGUAUAUUCAUAGUUAUAUAACAUUGCUGAAGUAAUGGUUAUUUUGCUAUGCUAUGUAAACCUACUGUUUGCAAAUUUAUAUAUGUAUACGCAUAUGCAUGCAUAUUAUAAAUGUAUAUACAUGUACAUAUGUAAAAUUAGUUCUAGGGGUAUAGAUAUGAUAGUGUUCUUUCUCAUUUAUUAGCUUAUUGCUUUACUUGUUUUUUUUAAAUGGAAAUAAUAUUUCAAUUGUAAGCUUAAACGUGUAGAAGCCCACUUCAUGUUAUAUCUAAACGAAUAUUAAUUUUUAUAUAAAACGUUUAAGCAGCUGUGGAUUUUUUUUGUUUCCAUAUAUACAUCUGUAUGAGAACAGAAUUUCCAUGAUUAUGAAUGUUUUAUUUUUCUGAGAGCUUUUGAAAAUUUUCUGGAGAGUAGUUAAUUUGUAUGUUAUAAUCAGUAACCAAUGUCAAAAGUAUUCUCAGUUGCCUAUAAUGUAAAUAACGAAUUUCUUAGAAUCCUAUCCAGUAUUAAAGUGUAAUCAGUACAUCUUUUUGAACAAGUUUGGCAAUGACAAUUGAAAUUUGAGUGUGUAAACUUUUUGAAAUGAUACAAUCUGCUGAUGGGAUUUUAUGUAUUCCUACUCUCAAAUCCAUAAAGAAGAAAGUAUGUUAUAGGUCAAGUAUAACAAAUAAUUUGAAUGUAUGAAAUACACAUCAUUAAAAGAACGAUUGUAAUGAUAGCUAAUUCAUAUGAAUAUCAUUCAAACACUGAAAAAGUAUUCUGAUAUUGAAGGGUGUUUUAAGUUGAUUUUCUAAAUUGUCUUUUUUGUACAAAUAUCAGCUAAGUGUGUGCUGAGGUGUGUCCAUAUGCCUCUGGUUUUUCUAUUUGAAAUAUUAAUGGUUACUGUUCCUUGGGAAUGGGAUUAUUCAGACGUGAUAAUGGAGUUAAGUAAUGCUUACUCAUUAGUGUUACUACAAUAGUGAUUAUUUUAGCAUUCUUUUUGAAAUUUUUGUACAUGUGUAAGUUAAAUACUAAAACAUUCUUUAUAUAUUUGUGUAUUGCUACAUGACAAUCUAAAAUGCAAAUGUGAAUUAUUGAAUAGAAAGUUAUCUGGAAAAACAUGGCAAAAUUUUAACAUUACUGUAUAAAAAGAUCAGAAAAGAAGGGACUGCUGCCACUUUCUACCUUUAAAACUUUAAAGGUAUUUCAGAAGCAACGUUUAAACAACAGAGGAAAUGUUAAAGAUACAACCAAUUUGUGCCUGUCUUCAUCGUUACCUAUUGACAUCUCGGGAGUGUUGGGCUGUUGUAUCCAACUUAGUAUUCCCAGUGACUGUUACUAAUAGUUUUUGAGUGAUCGUGAAGAGCGUGUGACUUAGAUACUAGUGCUAGUGCGGCAAAGAGUUUUACACAGUGAAACAGAGUAUUGGACUAUCCACGGAAAGAAGGGAGAAGAUGGCAUUUGAGGUGAACGUGAUGAAAGAAAGGCAUAACAUGCAGAUAACCUGAGGAUGUCUGACAUCAUCAGGAACAUUCUUCCUGUGAAGUUCCUUAAUUUAUAAAUCUCAACUGUAAACCACAGGGAGAUGAUGGUUCCAAGAAAAGACACUUUUGCCAUCUUUGUUUUCAAUCUCAAUAAUUGGUACCAUGAGACCUGUUGCAGUAUUCCUCUUUUCAAGUGUUCAUCACUUCCAUCCAUCCCUGGGCCCAGGAGAACCCCUUGGCGAUAAUGAUUGUUGUGUCUUCUCAGGUGAUGACUGAAUAGGAAAAACUGAUGCCAUUGCUUCUGCCACCAUCUUCAGUAAAACCAAAGACAGUCUUCAUAAUGUAUAGAGAUUCCUCAUUGAUGUGUUGCAAUGGACACUCCCUGUAGAUCACAAAAACAGGCUGAGAAGGCUGAAGUUUCAAAGUGACCUAAAGGGUGAUAUUGGAGAGAACUGUAACCAGGCAUGUUGACUGUUUUCAUUGUUGCCAUUGGACUAAAUCUCAGGAGCUUGAAUGAUGGAGGCAUUAUUACACAGAGAAGCUCAGGAUGGUAUAAUUUCAAGGCUUCAUUACAGUGCUCCCAUAAGUAUUAGGUGCACAUUUUUAAAAUUUUCAUUUAUCACAGGGAAAUUUAAAAUUGACUGAUAAAUCAUCUUUUUCAAGAUUUCAAAGGACAUGGAAAUUUGUGAAGUAUAAUAUUUUACUUUUUAAAUGCCUUUUUUCCUCUUCUAAUUCUGCCAUCUCUGUCUGUGUUAUCUACUAUUAAUGAAAUUUUGUGCAUAUCCUUUUGGGUGUAUUGAUAAAUUAAUAUGCAAGUUAUUUUUGGGGGGGUCUAUAUACUAGCUACAAAUUUUCUACACAGUAAACAUGGUUUAUAUAUAAAUUGUAAAUUUAUCCAACUAAUUUGUUGAAAUAAUUCCAAUGAUUUGGAGCUGCUAGGACUAAGGGUAUCCAAAAUUUAUAGUUUUGAGUCCAAAUUAGUUUUCCCUACUAUACAGACAGGACCUCAUCAAUCUUGUUCCCCAGUGUUUAUGUGGGUAUAUUUCCUAAAACUGUACAAAUGUUACAUUUUUAAUCUUUGGUAAUAUGGUAUUACAAAGAAAUUGCUUUUCUUCUGUUACUGUUCAGCUCUGUCAUCUUCAUAUAUGCUUAAUCCUUACUAGCCAUUUGUGUUUCUUCAUUUUCUUCUGUUUUUUUUUUUUUUCCAUUCCGUUGAUAUAUCAAUGUCUUUGUUACUGGUUUCUAAGAACUCAUUUUUUAUUAAGGAUGUUAACCAUUUGUCAUGCAGUGCAAAUGAAGUACCAUAUUUUAUUGCUAUCAAUUUACUAUGGGGUUUUGUAUUUUGGUUGUGUAUUA